CCCGCUGAACUUAAGCAUAUCAAUAAGCGGAGGAAAAGAAACUAACAAGGAUUCCCCUAGUAACUGCGAGUGAAGCGGGAAAAGCUCAAAUUUAAAAUCUGGCGGUCUUUCGGCCGUCCGAGUUGUAAUCUGGAGAAGCGUUUAUCCGCGUUGGACCGUGUACAAGUCUUCUGGAAGGGAGCGUCAUAGAGGGUGAGAAUCCCGUCUUUGACACGGACUACCAAUGCUUUUGUGAUGCGCUCUCGAAGAGUCGAGUUGUUUGGGAAUGCAGCUCAAAAUGGGUGGUAAAUUCCAUCUAAAGCUAAAUAUUGGCGAGAGACCGAUAGCGAACAAGUACCGUGAGGGAAAGAUGAAAAGCACUUUGGAAAGAGAGUUAAACAGUACGUGAAAUUGUUGAAAGGGAAACGUUUGAAGUCAGUCGCGUUGGCCGAGACUCAGCCUUGCUUCCGCUCGGUGCACUUCUCGGUUGACGGGUCAGCAUCAAUUUCGACCGCCGGAUAAAGGUUGAGGGAACGUGACAUCUUUCGAGGUGUGUUAUAGCCCUCGAUUCGCAUACGGCGAUUGGGAUUGAGGAACUCAGCGCGCCUUUAUGGUCGGGGUAGCAACCCGCGUAACGCGCUCAGGAUGCUGGCAUAAUGGCUUUAAGCGACCCGUCUUGAAACACGG
rnacentral:rRNA from 1 species